rnacentral:rRNA from 1 species
UCACCCAUAGAAAUGCAUUGGAAACUGUUUACCUAAGGUAUGGGAAGGGGAGGAUGGAAUUAGUGGGGUAGGGGUAAAAUCCGGUAGAUUUCACUUGGAAUACCGAAAAGCGAAGGCGAUUUCCCUGGAACAAUACUGACGGUAAUGCGUGAAAGCGUGGGGAGCAAACGGAUUAAGAUACCCCGGUAGUCCACGCCCUAAACGAUGUUCACUAGUCGUCGGGAUGCUAGUCAUCUCGGUGAUGCACUUAACAGAUUAAGUGAACCGCCUGGGGAGUACGGUCGCAAGAUUAAAACUCAAAGGAAUAGACGGGGACCCGCACAAGCGGUGGAGCAUGUGGUUUAAUUCGACGAUACGCGAAGAACCUUACCUGGCCUUGACAUAGAAAGAAUUUAGCAGAGAUGUAAAAGUGCUAGUUUACUAGAGCUUUCAUACAGGUGCUGCACGGCUGUCGUCAGCUCGUGUCGUGAGAUGUUAGGUUAAGUCCUGCAACGAGCGCAACCCUCGUGUUUAGUUACUAACAGUUCGGCUGAGGACUCUAGACAUACUGCCUGGGCAACCAGGAGGAAGGUGAGGACGACGUCAAGUCAUCAUGGCCCUUACGGCCAGGGCUACACACGUGCUACAAUGGGGUAUACAAAGAGCCGCAAUACCGCGAGGUGGAGCAAAUCUCAUAAAAUAUCUCCCAGUUCGGAUUACACUCUGCAACUCUGUAAAAUGAACGU